rnacentral:ncRNA from 1 species
UUCCGAAUGGGGAAACCCGGCAGUCGUCAUGGGCUGUCACCCGCUGCUGAACACAUAGGCAGUGUGGAGGGAACGCGGGGAAGUGAAACAUCUCAGUACCCGCAGGAAGAGAAAACAACCGUGAUUCCGGGAGUAGUGGCGAGCGAAACCGGAUGAGGCCAAACCGUAUGCGUGUGAGACCCGGCAGGGGUUGCGUAUACGGGGUUGUGGGAUCUCUCUUUCACGGUCUGCCGGCCGUGAGACGAGUCAGAAACCGUUGAUGUAGGCGAAGGACAUGCGAAAGGUCCGGCGUAGAGGGUAACGACCCCCGUAGUCGAAACGUCAGCGGCUCGUUUGAGAGACACCCAAGUAGCACGGGGCCCGAGAA